rnacentral:rRNA from 1 species
UACGUAGGGUGCAGCGUUAAUCGGAAUACUGGGCGUAAAGCGUGCGCAGGCGGUUUGCUAAGACAGGUGUGAAAUCCCCGGGCUUAACCUGGGAACUGCGCUUGUAACUGGCAAGCUGGAGUGUGGCAGAGGGGGGUGGAAUUCCGACGUGUAGCAGUGAAAUGCGUAGAGAUGUGGAGGAACACCGAUGGCGAAGGCAGCCCCCUGGGCUAACACUGACGCUCAUGCACGAAAGCGUGGGGAGCAAACAGG